rnacentral:rRNA from 1 species
AUGCAGACACUUGGUUUUGUCCCUUCUAAGUCUGACAUCUCAUUGUUUAUUUAUAACAAGUCAAAUACAUCCAUAUUUGUUCUCAUAUAUGUUGACGAUAUCAUUGUUACAAGUUCAUCUGAUGAGGCAAUAGCAGGACUUCUGAAGGAUUUAAGUACAGAUUUUGCUCUCAAGGACCUUGGCAAUCUCCACUAUUUCCAAGGGAUUGAAGUGAAGAAACAUGAUGAUGGAAUCCAUCUCUCCCAGGAAAAAUAUGCCACUGACUUGGUAAAAAAGGCUGGCUUGCAAGGUUGUAAACCCUCACCUACUCCAUUAUCUAGUUCAGAAAAACUGUCUCUUACAGAAGGAACACCUUUGAGUAAAGAAGACAACACAGAAUAU